rfam:Nomascus leucogenys chromosome 2, whole genome shotgun sequence.
CCUGGGCAUGGUGGUGGGUGCCUGUAGUCCCAGCUACUUGGGAGGCUGAGGUGGGAGGAUCACUUGAGCCCAGGGUUUCGAGGCUGCAGUGAGCCAUGAUCAGGCCACUGCACUCCAGCCUGGGCGAUAGAGCGAGACCCUGUCUUUA